rnacentral:pre_miRNA from 1 species
GAAAUACUCCCCCGUCCCAAAAUUUUUGUCUUAGAUUAGUCUAGAUACGGAUGUAUCUAAUACUAAAACGUGAAUUGAUACAUCCGUAUUUAGACAAAUCUAAGACGAGAAUUUUGGGACGGAUGGAGUACUGA